GGUGAGCAUGUUCCAUGAAUUUCUCCUGUAUAUAAGGCUAAUGCCUAUUCCUGGGUGACACUUUGAGGGAGCAGCAUUUAUUGUACUAUUUAAAUCUCCUCAAUCCAUUGAAUCCAAGGGAUGUUUGUGUAUAAAAUCCAAGUGGUAACCAGAAAUGUGAACAGUGCCGGGACCAUGGACUCCAUCUCAGUAAUCCUCAUUGGAUCUCAUGGAGAAAGUGCCAAACACAAACUGGAUAAUUGGGGACUAGAUUUCCAAGGCGGGGAUAUGGAUGAGUACACAGUGAGUAGUGAGGAAGACCUGGGAGAGAUCCUGCUGGUCCGGAUCAUUAAGGAACAGUACUUGUUCUUCCCAACAGAUACCUGGUUCUGUAGCUACAUCUCCGUGACCUGCCCCAAAGGAGAACUCUAUCACUUCCCAUACUAUAAAUGGAUUAAAGGCUUCGUGACUGUGGAUAUUCCCCAGGGGAAGGGGGCUUCGAUGGAUUUCCAUUUUUGGGGUAUUAAUGCUUUGGCCGAUUGCAUGAGGUGCAAGGUAAGUGGAUCUUUUAUCAGAUUUUUAUUAUCGUGGUGUAUAUUAAAUAAAAUGGAUUCUGGCCUAUCUAACGAAAAUCUAGAUUGCGUUACAAUACUGACAGUCGCUAAUACCUCUGUCCAGAAUGAUUGUAAAACAGGGCAUGUCAUCCACACAUGGGUAUGAUUCCCUUCAGCCAAAUCACACCUCCAACAGAGUCCCGAACUAUUAGGAUAUAUUUUUUUCAGUUUCAUAGUGCCAACGAGUAACCAACUUAUAAAUCGCUUCUCUUGUUUUGACCGCCUUAUUUGUCUUGUGUAUUACUUUAAGAAUGUCGUUCCACAUCAUAUCCGAAAAUACAAAAUUUAAUUCCUUAGUCCACUCCAAACGUUGACGAUUUGGGCCUGUGCCUAUUGCAUCAAUCAACAAUCUAUAUGUUUUGGAGAGUGGUUUGGUAAUCUCGAUUGCUGAGGAUGCCAACGAUUCCCAGCACGUUUCGGGUCUAUUCCAAUCUUUAGGACCAAAACCAAAAGUAAUCAAUGUUUUCUCAAGAAAGACCCAGGAUACCCUAUCAAAUGCCUUUUCAGCAUCUGUGGAGUGAAUCCGGCCUGGUCUGUAUGAAUAAGUUCGGGUGACUUCCCAUAGCCAUUAAUUUGCCACGCAGCACACAUUUAAUGGUUUCCCACAAUGUAACUGGAGAAAUAUCUGGUGUAUCGUUGGUCUGAAUUAUUGUUUCUAUCCAAGAC